UACGAAGGGACCUAGCGUAGUUCGGAAUUACUGGGCUUAAAGAGCACGUAGGUGGUUAAAAAAGUUGGUGGUGAAAUCCCAAGGCUUAACCUUGGAACUGCCAUCAAAACUUUUUAACUAGAGUAUGAUAGAGGUAAGCGGAAUUUCUAGUGUAGAGGUGAAAUUCGUAGAUAUUAGAAAGAACACCAAUUGCGAAGGCAGCUUUCUGGAUCAUUACUGACACUGAGGUGCGAAAGCAUGGGUAGCGAAGAGG
rnacentral:rRNA from 1 species